rnacentral:lncRNA from 1 species
GUGGUAUUACUAUGUAAAAUCUGGAGUCUUAUGAAUAAUAAUUUGAAGCCGUUCAUGUAGUCCGGUCCUUGAGUAUGGCCCCUAAGAUGUGAUCAUGAUCUUCUCGUCUCUCCGAAAAUUUCAGGGCCAAUUCCUAAAACGGCACACAACCAAGGGUAUCAAAAAUUCAAUCUCAAAUAAAAAACAAGAAGCAAAGCCUAUAAUCCCAUGCGUACACAGACAACAUACCAUGCUAUAACGAAAACAAUUAACCAAAUUUUUACUUACUAAUUUCACGAACAUGCAUGGAUUAACUUAUCUUUCUCCAACGCCACACAACAACACGCUUGUCUAUCUCCCUCAUCUGUUCGCAAAAUCUCCUCUUUUUCACUUUCAGAAACAAACAAACUUCACAGUAACAAUACCCAGUUGCA